UCUUCUGUCCGGUGAGGCGCAGAGGAAGAAGGGACUUCCCGUUUUUGUUCGUGCUGGGUUGGUGCCUCUUCGGCAUUAACAGCCGGAUCGGAGGAAGGCAACGCUGAGUUUACCUCGUUUUCGUCCCCCUCUAGAGAAUCCAGACAGCGACGGAAGUCCUCGGCAGAAUCGAGGGACGACUGUCCAGCGGAAAUGGGAACGUUUCCGAACGAAUCUGGCGACAUUGCAGAAAGAAGCCCAGUACUUCCCUCCCC
rnacentral:lncRNA from 1 species